UUUCUUCCGGGGGUGUCUCAUCCUGAGGAACAGCGUUAAGGGCUGCCACAGACUCUCCCACCAAAGCAGAGACGAGCGCUGAUAUUGCUGGUUGGGCUCCUGGCUCCAGCUGUGAGUUAUUUACAGCAGAGUUGGGAGAUGCAGAGAGAAGUUCCUCGCGAACAUCAUCAGGACUCUGCCACCCAGCCACGGCCAGCUCCACCCUAACUGGUAUCCAGAUGAUAUGAUGCUCAGACCUGGGCCUCCCAGCAGAGCUGAGAAUAACACUGGAGGCCUGAGUUAGAAAUGCAGCCUUCGAUGUUCAGGACGGGAUUAUUAUUAACUACGGUCAUCCUGCUGUGGAUUCACUUUCUGGACUUCUUUCGGGUGCUUCCAGCAUAAGAAAUCGCCGGUAGAAGGACUUGCUGACAGACUCAUUCGCACUGGUGAGGGGAGGAAUCUGUAUAAACUUGCAUGACCGAGCAUUUCCAUCACAGGAAGAGAAUCCUGAAAGCAUGAUCCCUUCCAGUUCCAUCUUUGCUGCCAACUAUGGCUGUUCAACAGUAUCCCCUUCUCCACUGGAUGGUUCUCAGAGAGCACCAGGAUGAGAAAACAAGAUUCCUACUCCUCCAACAAGCCCACAUCAGCCCACUGGUUUUCCCAAGUUAUCGCAAGAGAUGGGGAUGACCACAGACGCAACACAUCCUGCGUUUUAGACUAGAAAAGAUCUUCAGAGGUUGUACUGGCUACACAUGGGGCCCUACAACAUAUACCAAGUAAUUUCGUUCUACUGGACAGGGUGGCACAAAGACCCCGAAGUUCCAGAAUCACAAGAACUAUCCAGUUCUCCCAUCAUCAAACCCAAGAUGUUGGCACUGUGUCCUUAACCCUUAUCUCACCCUCUUUCAAAGGCCAGGCCUUUCCCCCUGCCCAAGCCUACCAUCUGGUUAACCAAAGGAAAGACUGUGUCUGCAUAAGGAUAGGACAAACCAAAAGAAGCAAGAAGCAGGUUGCUUCAGCAGAGACCGGUUAAGGGAGUACCACUCACAACGGAAGUUGGCAUCCAUGCAUUUCCGUCCCCAGGACAAGCCACAACAAGGCCUCAGUGGAUGCUCUCAGACCUUGGGGAGGGAUUAUUACCAAAGACCAACAGGUGGCAAAAAGCUCCCAGGAAGGGUGAGCUUUUCUAGAAGAGCAACAUCUUACAUGGCUUUCACUGAAACGAAGCUGUGAGGAACUUUCCAAAGCUUCACCCUUUGUAACCACAUAACCUACUCACAGAUGCUUACAGCAUUCUUUAUCAAGGAAAGAUGCUGGCAGGGAAAACCUGGGGCCUCUGGGGAAGUCUGUAGCUAGAAGGAGUUCUUUUAGGAUGUGGCUUCUUUGGCCAGAUCCUUCUCGAUGGGUUGAAGUGCAUCAGCCAACGGUACACACAGCCCUCUCCAACCACCAGCAAACACAGCUCAGGCACACUGGGAUGUUUCUCCACUCACCAGGACUGGCCGCAUCUCGCAGAAAACCAGGAGGGAAGCCAGCUCAACAUCUUCACUGUACCCAUUCUUCAGAGGGACUGACCUAAACCCUGUAGCAGAUGGAAAAACAACAGAGACAGGAGAUAAAUGUCAGGCCUCAGCUUUCUCACGUGAGCCAGGUCAAGGAGCACAGAGCCUGAGCUUGUGGGACAUGUAAUCCCUGAACAGCGCACAUGAGGAUGCACAUCGGUCCUGGAAUACUCGGGUGACAGUCUGGGUCCAAGAGGAGGAUUUGGGGGCACUUCUCUAGAGAAGCUUCCUGACCCGGUGCUCCCCUUACAGGUGAUGUGAUCUGUGUUGUUGGUCUGGUUGCUGUUGGCUUUUGCCUGGAUACCCUCUCAACUCUUGUGGGCUAGCCUAGUGCUUCUCCUGUUUGUUUGUUUUUUUAAGAUUGAUUUAUUUAUGCAUACAAGAGCUGGGGUGCAGGCCAGAGAUGCAGGGGAGUGAGAGGAUCCACCAGAGACAGAGUGGGGAACAGAACAGGCAGACUGACGAAAUACACUGUUGAGGGGAGCAGCGGGAGAGACAGGAGAGGUCUGCUGCACCAUGUGGGUUGCUCCCUGGCAGGCCGGGGAUCAAACUCGUGCUGCCAAGGCUGCAGAUUGUGUCAUAGUGUGGUGCUUAACCCCUUGUGCCACCAGGGAGGCCCACUUCUCCCGUUUUAGUGUAGAUGGGAACAACUGGUGGCUCUUACUAAAAUGCAGGUUGCACCUGGCUGGCUGGCUGGGGACCACCUGAGAUCUCAUCUGUGGAGAAGCAGUCAGUCUGGGUAUCAACUGACCAUUAGAAUGUGUUGGGAUGUGGGAGCCCUUUGGGGAGGGCCAGGUAGCCCUCUGGCACUUGGUUCUGAGCCGAGAGGGAACUCUGGCAUAUAACUCCAGACCUCGAGACUUGAGUUCCGUCUCAAGUCCAUGACCACUCCAGCUCCACGUACCCUCCUUGCUGCCCACAUCUCAUUUUUCUCAAGUCUUUGUGUAUAUUGGGAUUCAGAACUAGAGUGUG